UGCAUUCACUACUGUAAGUCGAUCUGGAUAAGAGCGUCUGCUAAAUGACUAAAA
rfam:Salmo salar isolate Sally breed double haploid chromosome ssa04, whole genome shotgun sequence.